CCAAGACCACCCUGGCCUGCCACGCCCCCAUCUUGGGCCUAUAAAAACCCGAGGCGCCCUACCCCCAGCAGGUAGACACAAAAAGCGGCUGAGCAUUGUGAGGAACACGUCGGCAGAGGAAGAUACAAGCCACUGGUCAUCGAGGGCACACUGGCAGAAGAGCACGCCAACAGGCACUAGCAGGUCGACAAGCCGGGCCAUAGACUGGUGGAAUGACGCGAAGUUUUCCAGGGGAAAACCAUCUCCCUUCUGGCUCCCCCAUCUGCUAAGAGUUACUUCUACUCAAUAAGACCUUGUACUCAUUCUCUAAGCCCGUGUGUGCUCCAAUUCUCCUGGUACACCAAGGAUGUUGCCAGUUCAAAAGUGCAGAAGCCAUACACACAGAGAAACUAUCUGGGAGAAGAAAUAUAGAAGAUAAAUCUGGAACACUGUGUGACACAAAAUAAGAAAACUGUGAAAGGAAAACGAGCCAUUGUCAAAAUGACACAUGAGCCAGCUUGAGUGGACUUUCACUAUCCAAAGAUUUCCAGUUUUUCCAGCACCAUCUACUGAAGAGACUGCCCUUUCUCCAGUGUAUGUUCUUGGCACCUUUGUCAAAAACGAGUUCACUGUUUUGAUAUCAAGAUUACACAGAUCUCACAAAACAUCAUGUUCUCCUUUAGGUGAAGUCAAAGAGCGCUUUACAUGAAAGCAAAGAACAUAACAUUUUCAAACACAUCAAACUAUGCCAAAUGAGGUGCAAUCUGCUCUACAUAUUUCAAAUGAAAAUGGUAAGCAGCUUUCAGAGACCAUCAUGUUAUGAUUGGCAAGAGGACAGGCAUCAAAUGGAAAAAGAAAGCAAGUAUUUUCAACAAAGAAGAUUGACAGUGUAUUAGUCCCUUUUCACACCGCCUUAAAUAACUACCCAAAACUGGGUAAUUUAUGAAGAAAAGAUGUUUAGUUGAUUCACAGCUGCAUCGGCUUAACAGGAAGCAUGACUGAGAGACCUCAGGAAACUUACAAUCAUGGUGGAAGACAAAGCAUGGGCCUUCUUCACAUGGUGUUAGGAAAGAGAGAGAGAGGGUGCACCAGGGGGAAGUGCCACACACUUCUAAACACCAGAUCUCAUGAGAAUUCUUAUCAGGAGACAGCGCUAGGGGGAUGGUGCUAAACCAUUAGAAACCUCCCCAAUGAUUUAAUCACCUCCCACUAGGCCCCACUGUCAACACGUGGGGAUUCCAAUUAGACAGGAGAUUUGGGUGGGGACACAAAGCCAAACCAUAUCAGACAGUGAAAGUGGGAAAUUGCCUUUAUAUUUAAUUUGAAAUAAAUAAUCAUGGGCAUUGAUGUAAGCCAGUGCUUUCAUGAUGGUAAAUUAUCUUCUUUAUUUUUUGGUUUCUGCUUUCUCUGAUGAAGCUGGAGUUGAAAAUGGUUACUCUGAAAAAAUAAGCCUUUCUUCAGAUGAAUUGUAGACAGGUCAUUAGAAGUCUUCCUUGAAAAAAGAUGUGAAACAAAACAAAAACAAGAAGCAAUCUGCAAGUUUGACACAAGCCUGGCUAAGAGCAUCUUCACCUUUUUUUUUUUUUCUAAUCUCAGGAAAAAAAAGUUGAGUUUUGUUUCAUCAAUUUAGGAUUUCAGAAAAAACAUCUAAUUAAGCUAGGAUAAAAGCAGUUAAUUAAGCAACUUUGGACCACAUCUGUACUUGUGAACAACCUUGAUUAUAUCAGUAUGCAUAUAUAGUAAGUGGCCUCUGAACAUUGCAUUUCAAAUAUAGAAAUUAAUAAAUUCAUGUUACUUUAAUUAGCAAUAAUUACAUAAUAUUUAGCAACACUCAUUAAUAGUUUUUAAGACUCUCAUAAAAUGUAAGACAAUAUUGAUUGCAAGACCCAUUAUAAUUUUACAAACCAUUAAGAAAGACAGAAACUCUGCCAAAUAAAAUAUGACACAAGGCAUUAAAGAAAAUGUUGUGUUAUGUAUGAAUUUUUCACACAAGCCUCUUAUUGCUUGGAAAUUAUAUCCAUCUAUUUUAAGAAUUUUGAUAGUUUCUCUUGACUUUUAUUGAGUUGCCUAGCAUGAGUCAGGCAAUCCCUUUACACAUUCUGCACAAAUAGAAUGUAACAGAGCCUUAUAUAUUCACAAGCAUCUUCCUUUCUUUGAUCUCCUAAAGUACUUGGGUGUUUUGCAAGAAAAUAUGGAAUUUAGGUUGUCCUUACAACAAUGAAUAUUUGCUUCCCUCUCUUCUGUCUCUAUGUUUUUCCACAUAAAGAAAAACUUUUGUUUCUACACUGAAAUGCCAUGUGAUCUUUAAUGUAUUUUAAAUAGCUACACACUACUCAACGAGGGUAGUAUUGACUAUGAUGACAAAAGCCAGAAAUAUGAAUACCUAUGACCCAGCUCAUUCAUGUAGGAAUGAAAAAUAUGACAUGAUUGUUGUCUGGUCAAAAACAACUAUAAGCACCAUAAAUUUUAAGAUGCAUUCUUAUUUUGGAGAUUUAUAAACAUAACCGAAAAGAAAUGUGUCUUAAAAU
rnacentral:lncRNA from 10 species